AAACAAAAGAUAUUUACUCUGCUUCGUCAUGCGUGCGGCGUUUGUUUCUGCAACAUCGUUUCGUCAUGGUAGUCGUGCCAAUAAAAGCACGUCGUUUAGCUACACUUUUUUAGAUUAAAAACAAGUGGUAUCUUUUUAAUCAAUUCCUUUUCAGCUACACGAAAUAAACGGCAGGCAGGUGACACCACAUAAAUUAACAUCAAUAAUUAGCUACCACCCAUGCAUGCAUACUGAUCAUCUCACCUCGUUAACUACGUAAGUCUGUUCUCACGCUGGUCAGGUUUGUCUCUCUGAACUGUCCAGAACUCGCUAAAUAUGGCCGUCCUCAUGAAGUUUUGUUUUGUUCUUGUGGCUGGGAUGCUUUUCGGCAGCCUUACUGCGAAACCUAUGGAAGAUCCUGCACCAUCAAGGUAUUAUUAUGAUGGUGAAAGCAAUGCGUAUUUUGACGUAGGGAAGUAUAUAGAAGUAAAACGAGACAAAGACUGUCGGGAUAGCUCUCCAAGGUGUAGCAGAUACAAAAUGUGCAAGAUCAGCCGCAGUCGCAAGUACUCUUACAUCCGAAUUCGCUGCCAGAAGACGUGCGGAGUUUGUUAAUGAGGAGAACCACGCUUUAUUUGCGGAAGGAUCGAUGUCCUUACACGUAUACAAGGCCUUAGUUUCUAGUUACUUGAGUGGAAAUAAAAUUUUCAUCAUUUGCACUUGUAAAGAGAAGAUUAGCACAGUGUACACGAUUAA